ensembl:lncRNA
GUUCUAUAACAAACACGUAUAAAGAGACUGUUCUAUAACAAACACCUAUAAAGAGACGGUUCUAUAACAAACACCUAUAAAGAGACGGUUCUAUAACAAACACGUAUAAAGAGACGGUUCUAUAACAAACACGUAUAAAGAGACGGUUCUAUAACAAACACGUAUAAAGAGAAGGUUCUAUAACAAACACGUAUAAAGAGAAGGUUCUAUAACAAACAUGAACAAAGAGACGGUUCUAUAACAAACAUGAACAAAGAGAAGGUUCUAUAACAAACACGUAUAAAGAGAAGGUUCUAUAACAAACAUGAACAAAGAGAAGGUUCUAUAACAAACACGUAUAAAGAGAAGGUUCUAUAACAAACACGAACAAAGAGAAGGUUCUAUAACAAACAUGAACAAAGAGAAGGUUCUAUAACAAACACGUAUAAAGAAAAGGUUCUAUAACAAACAUGAACAAAGAGACGGUUCUAUAACAAACACGUAUAAAGAGACGGUUCUAUAACAAACACCUAUAAAGAGACGGUUCUAUAACAAACACCUAUAAAGAGACGGUUCUAUAACAAACACGUAUAAAGAGAC